rnacentral:lncRNA from 1 species
UUCAGUUCUCCGCUCCACAGAAACUGCUUGGGCAGCACGUGUCUGAGAAUCAACCCCAACCCGUGCUACAUCAGGUCGAUAUACUUUCAUCUCUCCAUCAAUAAAUCCACGAUCAAGGACACGGGAAAGAAGCUCAUCAGUGGCAGCAUUAGAAGGAGCACAUACCAACAUUCUAGGCUUUGGGACUAGUUUAGGCAAAGUUCGUAAGAGAUUUUGGUCCAUGUUUUGAAGAACUUCAUCGAUGGACCCUGUAGGGGCAUUAUCUGAAUUGAGCUCAUUAGCUUGCUUG